GUAACGGCCAUCUUGUAAAUCGCGUCAACUCACUGACUCGAGAUAUCUCAAUCAGUACAAAGCAAUUUACAUACGAGUCCGCCAUGCAGUACCGAUCGGAUCAAUCACAAUUCAAUAAGCCUUAAUAAUGUACUGUACAACAAAAAUCAAAUUACACUUACAUCGUGCACAAAAUUUUCCUGGCUUUGCUGGCAAUGUAAAAUAUAUUCUUUCAAUUUUAAUUUAUAUUUGAGAAAACUUUGUGUAUUCCUAAUUGGUGGGGGUAUGUUGUUCCAGCACCUGGAGGCAGCAUAGCGGAAGCUGCCCCUGAAAGAGGCUGUCUUGUGCUUUUGUACUACAAGUUGUAUGGAACAUUGUCGCGAUUCACAAGUCCUAUGGCUUGACAUCCAAAUGAGCUUUUCAUACAAAUAUGACGGCUCCUUACGCCUUAAAAGAUCGAAAAGAAGACAAGCUAAGUGAAAUUUGCGACGGUGUUUCAUUUUUAAAAUUGAGUGUACAUUUAAGUAAGGAGUAACGUGUUCUCUAAAGGGAAUAUCGAAGCAGAAGCGAGCACAGGCAUUCUGGAUUCUCUGUACAAGUCUCUGUGUUUUGGCGGUCAAACGAGGUCCAUAUACAAUAUCUGUGUAAUUCAACUUGGACAAUAUCAGUGACUCAGUAAGGCGAAUACGUAAAUCUACUCCCAGGUGAUCUCUCACAUUGUAAAGAAUUUUUAAGCGGUAAAAACAAUCUCUCACUAGUCCAAUGAUGUGAUUCUCAAAUCUAAGAUUACAGUCCAUCUGUAAGCCAAGGUUACGUGCUUCCCACACCCUUUCAAUAGGUUGAUCCAUUAAUAGUAUUUUAUUUGUAUGUUUUAGCCUUAAUAUUUGUGAUUUUGUGCCACAAAUCAUAUAUUUGGAUUUAUUUGGAUUUAAAACUAAGCUAUUCCUCUUGGACCAUAGCACAAUCCGAUUCAGAUCUUCAUUUAGUCUAUCAAUUGCAAUGUCAAUAUCAGAUGGUUUGCAAGAGAUAUAUAUUUGGGUGUCAUCAGCAUAAAAAUGAUAUCUACAGUGCAUUAUAUGAUCUUUCAUGUCUGCUGAGUACAAUAAAAAUAAUAUGGGUCCCAAAAUAGAGCCCUGCGGCACACCUUUGGAUAUUGCCAUUCUAUCUGAGAUGAGCGAGGAACCAUCAUGCUUAGUUAUUUUGACAUACUGAUAGCGUUCACUGAGAUAACUAUGAAACCAUUGUAUGGCAUAACUGUCAAAACCGUAAUAGCUCAAUUUGGACAGGAGGAGAUUUAUAUUCAAGGAAUCGAAAGCCCGUGAGAAGUCAAGCAAUACGAGGAGAGUGCACAUGCCCUGAUCCUGUGAUUGCAAAAUAUUGUCAGUCACAUCAAGCAGUGCUGUGACAGUACUGCGACCCCUUCUAAAACCUGACUGGACCUCUGUGCCGGCUUACUGUAGCUACAAAGUUAUCGUGGUUUGUGCCAAGGGAGCCUGCAUUAAACAGCCCAACCCUAAGAAGUUUGUUCGCCAUUUUUCAAUAAUAUUAAUGUAAUAAUUUUGUAUAAUAUUUGUCUAUGUAUAUAAGUGAUAAUAGUGUGCAUAACUGAUGUAAAUAUGUAGAUAAGAACACGGUUAUUAAGAAAUUGUAAAUAAAUAUAAUUAAAAUUACUGAAAUAUAAAUAUGUAGUAUAUAAACCUGUAGUAUUAAUACCAAGAAACUUUAAAUAAAUAUGGCUAAAAUUAUUGAAAUGUAAAUAUGUUUUAUAUAAUCCGAUCAACCCUUCAUGCUUUGUAGACAAUAUUGACAGACACGCAAUGAUAUAUUGAUGUAGCGUAUAAUUAAUUAAUGGUUUUAUACUAUGGCUAAUAGAUGGCGUUAAACUGAAUUGACUAUGUGUAUAAGUAAUAAUAGUGUGAAUAAGUGAUUUAAAUAUGCAGAUAAAAACACGAUUAUUGUGACAUUGUAAAUAAAUAUAGCUAGAACCAUUGAAAUGCAAAUAUGUGUUAUAUAAUCCGAUCGGCACUCCAUGCUUAAUAGACAGAAUUGACAGAUACGCAAUGAAAUAUUGAUAUAAUGUAUAAUUAAUUAAUGAUUUUAUACUAUGGCUAAUAAACGGCGUUAAAUCGAUUAAUACAACAUACAUGGGAGAAGC
rnacentral:misc_RNA from 1 species